rnacentral:pre_miRNA from 2 species
AAUGCUCUUCUUUAGCUGGUUGACGCCGGGCCAAGUUUAGCCGAUUCGAGUCAUUUGGUCCCCUUCAACCAGCUGUAGUUGGCAUUUAGA